rnacentral:lncRNA from 1 species
GUCUCUGGUGGCCAUGGGGUGGCAUUGGUGGCCAUGGGGUGGCUGUAGGGUGACACUGAUGGCCAUAGGGGGGCAGUAGGGUGACACUGAUGGCUGUGGGGUGGCAAUAGGGUGACACUGAUGGCCAUAGGGGGGCAGUAGGGUGACACUGAUGGCUGUGGGGUGGCAAUAGGGUGACACUGAUGGCCAUGGGGUGGCAUUGGGUGACCUCAGUGGCCAUGGGGUGGCAUUGGUGGGCAUGGGGUGGCAAUAGGGUGGCACUGAUGGCUGUGGGGUGGCAUUGGUGGCCAUGGGGUGGCAAUAGGGUGACACUGAUGGCCAUGGGGUGGCCAUAGGGUGGCCAUGGGGUGGCAUUGGUGGGCAUGGGGUGGCACUGGUGGCCAUAGGGUGGCCAUGGGGUGGCAAUAGGGUGACAUUGAUGGCCAUGGGGUGGCAGUAGGGUGACACUGAUGGCCAUGGGGUGGCAAUAGGGUGACUCCGGUGGCCAUGGGGUGGCAUUGGUGACCAUGGGGUGGCAAUAGGGUGACACUGAUGGCCAUAGGGGGGCAGUAGGGUGACACUGAUGGCUGUGGGGUGGCAAUAGGGUGACACUGAUGGCCAUGGGGUGGCAAUAGGGUGACACUGAUGGCCAUGGGGUGGCAAUAGAGUGACUCCGGUGGCCAUGGGGUGGCAUUGGUGGGCAUGGGGUGGCAAUAGGGUGACACUGGUGGCCAUGGGGUGACA